UCAGACCAUGAUCUUGUGAAACGAAAUUGUAUGGGAAUUGUAACCUUAUGGCUUUUGUGGGUUUUUCCUUUAAAAGCACCUAUGUGACUACAGUACGAUGCGACUCUUGCUCUUGGGAGCUGAGUUUGCCUGACUGUACAGCCGCAACAAUAAACCUCGUGCUGUUGCAUCAACUGGACUGGAGUCUGGGUUCUUCGGGUGCCCACUUGAGAUCCUAGAUUUUUGGGGUCUAACAAAAGUACUUACUGGUGGAGCAGAGGACCUGGGUUUGGUUCCCAGCACCCACAUAUCUGCUCUUAACCACUGGUGGCCAGCUCUAGAUCAUCCAAAACCUUCUAAUUUCUGUGGGCUCCUGAUUGCAUGUGCUGCACAUGAAUGCACUCAGACACACUCACACACAGUAAAUAUAUAUAUAUAUUUUAAAAAGUCAGAGGCAAAUGAAUUUACUAGACCUUGGUAUGUGGGUAGGCAGUGUGAGGGACCAGCUUAACAACCGAAUGAGACACACAGAGUUGUCCAAGCAUGGAUGUCACUGUUACUGUUGGCCUCUUGAGCACUGGAGCAUGCUUCCUUAUUGUGGAAUAUCUAUGUCUCAGACAGAGCUGGUCCUGGGUGAUUCCCAAAUGGGGGCAGGUGUUCCCUGUUCUUCACUCCUUUUCUUGACAUCUCAUAGGGUUUGGAAUUAUCAGGGAGUGCAGAGUCCACUGAAGAUGAGCUAUGGUGGCUAGAGCUGGGUGAUGUUGAUCCUGCUGGGAAUGACCUGAGAGUGUCCUACCUGGGUGGGUUUUAUGUGUCCCUGGAUGCUCAGCCUCUCCUUUCCCCCCAUGUUUUCCAAACUAGGCUUUCUAUCCCUUGUCUACAUAUCAACCGCCCACAUUAUAUAGGUACAACCUCAAUCAUAGCAGGCACACCAAAGACAGUGCAAUCCCUGCUCCCCAUUGGCCCUCCCUCACAUCAGCAAAACCGCAAGAAACUGGCCUGGUUGGUCUCCAGACUCAUAGAGAUCCGCCUGCCUCUGCCUCCAGAGUGCUGGGAUUAAAGGUGUGUGCUGCCAUGACGGCCUCAGGCUCGUUUUCUUCAGCUCAUUUUAAGAGGUGACCAGUGACUGACCUUAGUCCCCAAGUCAGAGCCAAGUACUGCAGGGGUUUCCAGAGGAAGAUGCAGCGACCUCCUCAAUCAAAGCCCCUUUGAUCCCUGCCCCAUGCGAAAGCAGUGUGGGCAGGGAUUUUCAUUUCUCCAAUCCAUACACCUCUAAAACACAGAAAUGGGCCAUGCUGUAGAGGUGCAUUUUAAAUUUUUGUUUGUUCAUUUUUCUCAGACAGGCUCUCCCUGUGUAGUCCAGGCAGCUACCAAACUGUCUAAAUCCCUCGGCCCCAGGCUCUAAGUUCUGGGAUUAGAGGCAUGCGUCACUAUUCCUGGCUCUGGAAUUUUUUUUUUUUGAACCUUCCCCCCACCCUCCAAUUAGCAAUCCUGAAGAUCUUCCCAUAAAAGUGCCGUAUGUUCUUUGUGGAAUUUGCCUUAAUUCCAAACCAGAGAUCAAUGGACUCUGCCCUCCUAGAAAAUUCCAGGCCAGUGGUCAAUGUUGGCGAUCUUCCUCAAUUACUUCAGUUUGUUAUUCUGGAGACAGGGUCUCUCAUUUGAACCUGGAGCUCAACGGUAUGGCUAGGCUGCCUGGCCAGAGCUCCAGGGCACAUGUCUGCGUCCACAGUGCAGGAAUUACAGGCAUCCCAGGGAACUCAACUGUUUCACAUAGGUGAGGCAGAUCUGAGUUCAAGAUUCCUUGUCUGUGCGGCAAGCCCUUGCUGACUUCCUCAGCCCCCUCCACAUAUUCCAUUAUUGAUUCUGUAAUGUUUUACCUUAUACGUUAUUUAACCUCUCAUUUAAAUAUGUAAUUUUCUUUAGAUAAGCGUCCUUUGAAAAACCCUGCAUAUUCAUUAUUGUGUUCCUAUAUAAUUUUUUUUUCUAGAGUAGAAUAGAAUUGAAUUUUUUUCCUCUAGACUAGAAUUUUUAGGUCAACCGUAUAUGUAUUCACAGUUUUGAAAGCUGCCAUCGGGCCGCUUUGCCAAAAAAGCUUCAUCAGUUCUCAGUCCCCCGAUGCCAGCAGAACAGCCCAUAGUUCAGUCCUCGGGCCCUUUGGUGAUUUUAUAGGCACCUCAACAUUCUUUCCACUGAAAGCUGCCAAAGUGAUUGUGGUUUUCUGUACCAGAACUGAGCCUGAAGGACUGGGCUAUGGUCCCAUCAUCUGGCUUCUCUGUUUAAAACACUUCCGUGACUGGUAAAUACAGUCCACCCUGCAACAUAGGUCGCCUCCCUGAGUCCCAUGUUUACUCCCAGCCAGCCCUAUUUCUCCUGCCUUUGGGCUAAGCAUGACUCAGCCUGCCUCUCCUCAUCCCCAGGACUCUGUCUCUCUUCUCCCUGGUCAGGGUGUUUCCUCUUCCGCUGGCUAAUUCUUCUCUUCUUAGCUGUGUCCCUAUUUCUGUCUGCAUCGGGAGCCUGGCCUGGCCUGGGCCUGCUGUACAUGCAUGCCCCUCCCCCAUGCCCUUCGUAUGCACUUUGCUCUGGGGCACACUGCUGCUCUGGAGUGAAUUAAACAUCUGGUUAGACCAGAAUGGACAGUGUUCUUGGUAACCAUUUCACACACUUGCAUUUUGUCCUGAUAUGCAUGAGGAUGGGGAUGGUACCGUGUCUUGUUUUCCUUUUGUGCUCGAAAAUGUUCCCAAUGUGAUAGAAGAAAGGGUAUUUCUUGAGUACCUACCAUGGAUGAAGUUCUUUCUUAACUAUGGCAUUGGUUAAUAUUCACAACCAUUCCUGGAAAGCUGCCUUCAUGUUUCCGAUAUGAAGCAAAUUGCCCUUGAGGACUCCCCUCAGUAUAAAUUCAGAUAUGCCACCUGAGAAAUUCCUCCAGUGAAAACUUGGAUGUGCCAAAGCACAGUGCUUGGUUCUUCCUAAACCCACCGAGUAAGCAAUUCCCUUCAGGAGCUUCCCACUGCAGAGUGGCACAGUGCUGAACACCUCCUGAGAGAACUAAGUCAUGAGGAAUGCAACAGCCCAUCUUCCCGAAAAGAUCUUUCAAGACCUAAAAGGUUCACAACGUGUUACCUUCUUUUUUUUUGCAUAUCAAAGCAUCUUUUUGGACUUUAAAUAUUGACUUGUUUUUAUUUCCGACAGUUUCAUAAUGUACUUAAGGACGUUUACUCCUACCCCCCUUGCCCACCCUUAUCUCCUCUGCUGUUGAAAUGCUUCUUCUUUCCAGGUCACCAUUCUACUCUCUUGUCUCCUUUCUGUGUGUGACCCACUGAGUUCACCCAGAGAUGCUUGCAUGAGCAGGGUUGGGGGGAUUAACUGGGGGCUGGGCAGCUCAUCAGUGGCCUCACCACUGUGGAAAAUGACACCUCUUCCCCACAACCACUAACUGCCUGUAGCUCCUCACAGGCCCAUGACAUGUCCACGGUCCAACCUUGCGAAGGGCUGAUGCAUGUGAGCACAGGUGCUCUGAGUUCCUGAACGCAACGGCUGUCGCGCCCACACGAUGACUUUUUGCGGCACGCGUUCUCAUCCCCCUGGCUCUUACAUUCCUUCUGCCCUCUUCUGUGGUGUUUCCUGCGCCUUGGUGGUACGAGCUGUCUUAUUCAGGGCUGAGGACUUCAUUGUCACUUACUCUAGUCACUUUGAUCACUCAUGAGUCACUUUUUUAACCACCGCCCAAGGAUCUUAGAGCCUUGAGAGGAGUGUUAUGGAACAUUGUUAAAGCACCUCUUCCCUGCCAGUCACCUUGGUCUUCGCAGUGGGUUCUGAAGCCAAGUGUCUGGAUCAAAUGAUGCAUCUUCUCUGCCGCCUUGAGAUCCAGGAAGGAUUGUUUUCGUUGCAUACAGCAGGAGUUACUCCCAUCUGAGAAGCAGCUUGAGCAGAAGAGGGAGAUGCUGGAGGGCAUGAGGCAGCCAGCUCACAGAAGUGAAGGAAAGCUGCCAGACUUCGCUUGGCAAUGGUGGGCCAGAGCGGCUCUGGGAACUCAGGACCGGGAGCCAGCAUCCCUGUGUCCAUGACAUGGAUGUUGGCUUGAGGCCCUGGGGUUUUCCUGAUGUCAAAUUUUAUGACACUCUCAAAUAAAAUUCCCAUAUAAAUCAAACCA